GUUGCAGGGUAUAGACCCGAAACCCGGUGAUCUAGCCAUGGGCAGGUUGAAGGUUGGGUAACACUAACUGGAGGACCGAACCGACUAAUGUUGAAAAAUUAGCGGAUGACCUGUGGCUGGGGGUGAAAGGCCAAUCAAACCGGGAGAUAGCUGGUUCUCCCCGAAAGCUAUUUAGGUAGCGCCUCGUGAACUCAUCUCCGGGGGUAGAGCACUGUUUCGGCUAGGGGGCCAUCCCGGCUUACCAACCCGAUGCAAACUGCGAAUACCGGAGAAUGUUAUCACGGGAGACACACGGCGGGUGCUAACGUCCGUCGUGAAGAGGGAAACAACCCAGACCGCCAGCUAAGGUCCCAAAGUCAUGGUUAAGUGGGAAACGAUGUGGGAAGGCCCAGACAGCCAGGAUGUUGGCUUAGAAGCAGCCAUCAUUUAAAGAAAGCGUAAUAGCUCACUGGUCGAGUCGGCCUGCGCGGAAGAUGUAACGGGGCUAAACCAUGCACCGAAGCUGCGGCAGCGACACUCAGGUGUUGUUGGGUAGGGGAGCGUUCUGUAAGCCUGCGAAGGUGGCCUGUGAGGGUUGCUGGAGGUAUCAGAAGUGCGAAUGCUGACAUAAGUAACGAUAAAGCGGGUGAAAAGCCCGCUCGCCGGAAGACCAAGGGUUCCUGUCCAACGUUAAUCGGGGCAGGGUGAGUCGACCCCUAAGGCGAGGCCGAAAGGCGUAGUCGAUGGGAAACGGGUUAAUAUUCCCGUACUUGGUGUUACUGCGAAGGGGGGACGGAGAAGGCUAUGUUGGCCGGGCGACGGUUGUCCCGGUUUAAGCGUGUAGGUGUGUGUUCCAGGUAAAUCCGGUUCACUUUAACACUGAGGCGUGAUGACGAGGCACUACGGUGCUGAAGCAACAAAUGCCCUGCUUCCAGGAAAAGCCUCUAAGCAUCAGGUAACAUCAAAUCGUACCCCAAACCGACACAGGUGGUCAGGUAGAGAAUACCAAGGCGCUUGAGAGAACUCGGGUGAAGGAACUAGGCAAAAUGGUGCCGUAACUUCGGGAGAAGGCACGCUGACACGUAGGUGAAGUGAUUUACUCAUGGAGCUGAAGUCAGUCGAAGAUACCAGCUGGCUGCAACUGUUUAUUAAAAACACAGCACUGUGCAAACACGAAAGUGGACGUAUACGGUGUGACGCCUGCCCGGUGCCGGAAGGUUAAUUGAUGGGGUCAGCGCAAGCGAAGCUCCUGAUCGAAGCCCCGGUAAACGGCGGCCGUAACUAUAACGGUCCUAAGGUAGCGAAAUUCCUUGUCGGGUAAGUUCCGACCUGCACGAAUGGCGUAAUGAUGGCCAGGCUGUCUCCACCCGAGACUCAGUGAAAUUGAACUCGCUGUGAAGAUGCAGUGUACCCGCGGCAAGACGGAAAGACCCCGUGAACCUUUACUAUAGCUUGACACUGAACAUUGAGCCUUGAUGUGUAGGAUAGGUGGGAGGCUUUGAAGUGUGGACGCCAGUCUGCAUGGAGCCGGCCUUGAAAUACCACCCUUUAAUGUUUGAUGUUCUAACGUGGACCCGUGAUCCGGGUUGCGGACAGUGUCUGGUGGGUAGUUUGACUGGGGCGGUCUCCUCCUAAAGAGUAACGGAGGAGCACGAAGGUUGGCUAAUCCUGGUCGGACAUCAGGAGGUUAGUGCAAUGGCAUAAGCCAGCUUGACUGCGAGCGUGACGGCGCGAGCAGGUGCGAAAGCAGGUCAUAGUGAUCCGGUGGUUCUGAAUGGAAGGGCCAUCGCUCAACGGAUAAAAGGUACUCCGGGGAUAACAGGCUGAUACCGCCCAAGAGUUCAUAUCGACGGCGGUGUUUGGCACCUCGAUGUCGGCUCAUCACAUCCUGGGGCUGAAGUAGGUCCCAAGGGUAUGGCUGUUCGCCAUUUAAAGUGGUACGCGAGCUGGGUUUAGAACGUCGUGAGACAGUUCGGUCCCUAUCUGCCGUGGGCGCUGGAGAACUGAGGGGGGCUGCUCCUAGUACGAGAGGACCGGAGUGGACGCAUCACUGGUGUUCGGGUUGUCAUGCCAAUGGCACUGCCCGGUAGCUAAAUGCGGAAGAGAUAAGUGCUGAAAGCAUCUAAGCACGAAACUUGCCCCGAGAUGAGUUCUCCCUGAGACUUUAGGUCUCCUGAAGGAACGUUGAAGACGACGACGUUGAUAGGCCGGGUGUGUAAGCGCAGCGAUGCGUUGAGCUAACCGGUACUAAUGAACCGUGAGGCUUAACCUUACA
rnacentral:rRNA from 1 species